rnacentral:rRNA from 1 species
GGGACUGAGACACGGCCCAGAUUCCUACGGGAGGCAGCAGUGGGGAAUAUUGCACAAUGGGCGAAAGCCUGAUGCAGCGACGCCGCGUGAGGGAUGACGGCCUUCGGGUUGUAAACCUCUUUCAGUAGGGAAGAAGCGAAAGUGACGGUACCUGCAGAAGAAGCGCCGGCUAACUACGUGCCAGCAGCCGCGGUAAUACGUAGGGCGCAAGCGUUGUCCGGAAUUAUUGGGCGUAAAGAGCUUGUAGGUGGCUUGUCGCGUCUGCCGUGAAAACCCGAGGCUCAACCUCGGGCGUGCGGUGGGUACGGGCAGGCUAGAGUGUGGUAGGGGAGACUGGAACUCCUGGUGUAGCGGUGAAAUGCGCAGAUAUCAGGAAGAACACCGAUGGCGAAGGCAGGUCUCUGGGCCAUUACUGACACUGAGAAGCGAAAGCAUGGGUAGCGAACAGGAUUAGAUACCCUGGUAGUCCAUGCCGUAAACGUUGGGCACUAGGUGUGGGGGACAUUCCACGUUUUCCGCGCCGUAGCUAACGCAUUAAGUGCCCCGCCUGGGGAGUACGGCCGCAAGGCUAAAACUCAAAGGAAUUGACGGGGGCCCGCACAAGCGGCGGAGCAUGCUGAUUAAUUCGAUGCAACGCGAAGAACCUUACCAAGGCUUGACAUGCACUGGACGGCUGCAGAGAUGUGGCUUUCUUUGGACUGGUGCACAGGUGGUGCAUGGUUGUCGUCAGCUCGUGUCGUGAGAUGUUGGGUUAAGUCCCGCAACGAGCGCAACCCUCGUUCUAUGUUGCCAGCACGUGAUGGUGGGGACUCAUAGGAGACUGCCGGGGUCAACUCGGAGGAAGGUGGGGACGACGUCAAAUCAUCAUGCCCCUUAUGUCUUGGGCUUCAAGCAUGCUACAAUGGUCGGUACAAUGGGUUGCGAAGCUGUGAGGUGGAGCGAAUCCCAAAAAGCCGGCCUCAGUUCGGAUUGGGGUCUGCAACUCGACCCCAUGAAGUCGGAGUCGCUAGUAAUCGCAGAUCAGCAACGCUGCGGUGAAUACGUUCCCGGGCCUUGUACACACCGCCCGUCAAGUCACGAAAGUCGGUAACACCCGAAGCCAGUGGCCCAUCCUCGUGAGGGAGCUGUUCGAAG